AAAUGUUCCUGACCUGUUCAAGCCAUUGAAAAAUAAAGAAGAAGAAUAUUUAUAAGAUCUGUGGUUGCACAUGGUUAGGAACAGAAGUAUUGAAAAGAAGAAGAACAAUACUUCUUAUGAUUCUGUGGUUACGAAUCUAUUAUUGCCUAAAAUUCGAAAAAGAAGAAGAACGCUAGUGGCGCUAUUGUGUCAAAAGUGAGGAAAUUUUGAACUAAAAACUAAAAUGGUUGCCAAUAUGUUUGCAUUUAUGUGAAGAUCUAAAUUAAAUCUUAGUUUUCGCAGCAUUGGUUAUACAGCAAAAAAAACAUCAUGACAGGACGACAUUUUCCGUUGUUGGAAGUUCCUUUACAAUUUUUCUGAUUUUUUGGUAGAAAAAGUGGUUCUUUUGUACACUAUUUGAGCUUAUUCUGUUCCGUAAGCCUGCUUAAACUCAUGUAAAUGAGUAUUAUUAAUAAUACACACUCAGCAUGUACAGGCCACCUAAAAGACAGGACUUGGAUCACCUCUGUUGUUUAUCCAUCAUUCUGGUUUACGAAAUUGGUUUUUCAUUAUUCAAUUAAAAAGAUUGUGCAAUAACUCAAUGGAUGUAUACAGUUCCAGGGCAGUACAUUUAUCAUUUCAAUUGAUAUUAUGAACAAUGCAUCAGGACUUAUAAGUAAAUCUAAAAAUUUUAUUUCUUUUGUGUAAAUAUAUUUUUAUUUGUUUGCUAUUGAUGUUCAUUAGUAGAUUUCAUCAUUUUUAAAUUUAAGUAAGGAAAAAUUUCCAAUGGGUGCUAUUUUUAUGGUUCCUUAUUAUCAUCGAUAAAUUCAGAGCAGUGAUUUUUAAUUUAAGCCUAUUUAUGGCUGUUUAUUUUUGAUACAAUACCAUCUAUUUAGGUUGUUUUUGGUUUACUUUCAUUUCUUUAUAAUUGCUUGACUUUCAUAUAUUGUUAAUUGUGGAAAUAACGUCAUCAUUUAUCAAUUCCAUACAUUAUUCCCUUGAUUGUAUUUCUAUAGGUCUUAUUUGUUUGGUAAAAUAUACCAUUACUUAGAAUUUAUUUCGUUUUCCUAUUAACAGCUUGACUCCCAUAUUUUCUUCAUUAUUGGAAUAAUAACAUCAUUUAUUGAUUCUAUAAAAUAUUCUUCAUUGGCUCUAUUUCUAUAAGUAUUCUUUUAUUUGUAUUAGUUUUCUUAUGGUAUCAUUCUUCUAGUAUUUUUUGUGCUUGUGUGAUUCCUUGUACAGAAUUUAUGUUUUGAUGGAUUCAUUUUCAUGUCAUUUUUUUCAGAUCAUAUUCCAUGAAUUGCCAUAAUUUUGCGGAUUCUCUUGGUUUGGUUUCUCUGUGUUUAAAUAUAAUUUAAAUACACAGUAACACACUUAAAAAUCUCAGAAUAAGGACUAAUUUCCAUCUAAUUUCCUACUAAUUCCUGGCGCAUUUGCCAUUUAUUCAAAAAAACUGUCUCGUCCACAUAAUUCACUUCUAGUUUUUCUAGCAUUUUUUCCAAUGAAUUUUCCGGAAUAACAUCGACUCCAGAGCAUCAUAACUAGCCUCCCCGAAGAGGAGGAGACCCGGGUCACCCCCUAACCCUGAUGUUCGGGCAUCGAUGACCUGUGUAGCAUGCAGAGGUACCCAAAGGAGUCACCACCCUCUGGUUUACGAGCUAGGUGUUCUAACGCUAGAGGCUUCGGCCGGAUACGACCUGGCACCCAAGCUACGAGACUUCUUCGUGCACGUAUCCCGUGACGUCUCGACAAUAGAGGGGGCGGGAUAUCGGACACAUUGAAGACGAUGAGGGGGGUCCGCCUGUAGGGGGUCCCGGUGGAUGUCCGUUCGAUGGGUGACGAGGGUGACCCGAGACGAGGCUGCUUAGCUGGGAUGGGAACUGACUGGCGAGGCUUAAUCGUCGGACAAGGGUUAAAUCUGAUGGAGGGGGGCGAACUUAUAUGCUCUGGAGGAUUUUUCUUAUGUGCUUGAUGUCAUAUUUUUACUAGAUAUUCUUUAGAGGAGACUAAGCAUAAUAUUUGGUCAAUUUUCCAGUUCUUAAAGACCACAUACUUCUUUAGUUUCUUCUCUUGCUUAUGGCCUACCUCAAUUUAAAUAUUUUUGUCUUUUAUAUUUUCUUUAUUGGAAUAUUACCAUUCGUCAAUUCUAUAAACUCUUCUAAUGACUAGCUUAUAUAUUUUUAUUGUGUCUUUCUUCCGAUACUUUUUUAAUGCAUAAAAAAUUAAUUCUAUUGCCUGUAUGGAAUUAUUGCUUAUCCAUUGUCAUCUUAUUUUUUUCCAUUGUCAUCUUAUUUUUCCUGAGAUUUUCCCUCAUUUUCAUGCCAUUUUAUCCAAUGCAUAAUAAUAUCUCUCUUUUAAUAUAAUGUUUCCCAUAUUUUCUUCAUUGUGCGAAUGCAAUCAUUCAUCAAUUCUAUAAACUCUUCCAUUGAUUGUAUUUCUAGGUCAUUUUAUUUGUAUAUAAUUUUAUAUUUUUUUUGUCAUUCUUCUGAGACUUUUCUAAGUUCAUCACACAUUUUUAUGGAACUUUUUUAAUUCCAUAUACCUAUCUCUGUUUCUUUAUUUGUCUCACAUAUUUUCAUUCCGUGAAAUUUUCUAUUAAUUUAUGUAUUUCUGGGUUAUCAGCCAUUAUUUAAUUAAAAAAAAAUAAUUCUGUAUCUCUAGAGUUCUCAAGGUAUUUUAUUUCUAUUGGAAUCAUUUUCAUGACUUUUUUCAAUUCAUCAUUCCAUACAGAGGAAAACCCUGACUAAAUUUUAUUUUUCUUAAAUAUAAUUUAUUAUUUUUCUCUUACAUUGAUUGUAUUUCGAAGUCUUCUCUUUUAUUUGUAUUAUUAUUUGUUUUAAUGCCAUUCUUCUAAGACUUCAAGUCUUUUUAUUACCUAUAUAGAACUGUAUAAUUUUGGAUACAUUUUCUAAUUGAUUUUCUUUUCGUUCCUUUUCUAAUUUCCUUUAAAAUUAAGUUUUUGAAUGGGAUAUUGUAUUGCUUUGGGACAGCUGCGCUUCAACUCAACCACCCUCUUCAAAAUGCCAGUAGCUGCAUUAAAUUCAACAUUGAACAGUGGAUUCAGAAUAAAAUUCAUCAUUGAAGAGGAACUAAAUAAAUAAUUUGAGAUCAUCAAAUUUUUGGAAAUCAUUCUGUAAUAACUGCAGCUGGUACUGGUACUUCUAUUUUUCCUGCAUUGGACACUCCACCAAGACACAUCUGGAAGAAGACUUUUUGAAGAAGAAAUUGGCCUUUACUUUUUUUUGGAAAUUCAAAAAGUAAAACUUUGAAACGUUGAUUUCUGUAAUUUAUACAUAAACUUUUUUUUUAAAUAUUUAAGUUACAAAAAUUCUUAUAUUAUCAAGAAUAUAUUUUAGUAGAUUCCAGUUGUAUAAAAACAGAGAAUUCACGACUAUCAAAAUUUUAAUUUUAUUUUUAAACAGUUUCUUGGAACUUUAACCUGUACAAUCAAAAAAUUUUCUGAUCAAGUAGGCUUUGAGCAUUGAUAUAUAAUUAAUUUUCUAUGAGGAAUUACUUUAAAAUUAAUAUAAUUUUUUAUACUCCAAAGAAUGUUACGUUAUAUUCAAUAAUUAGAGUACUAUUUAUAAUUAUUUUGGUUAUGGAUAAGAUAUUUAUUGAAUAUGUUGUUUUAGUUAAGUUGUAAUACAAUAUGAUCGAAAAAAAACGGCGUCAGCGAAGGCAAUGAAAUGAAGAUCUCGUACAUUUUAUAUGGGAUAUGUAAAAUUAUAUGGGGAUAUUAUCAUGUUCAUUUCCAAGCCAACGGGACGCCAUUUUUUCCAUCAUACGGUAUAUGAUAAUAUAAAGACUCCCAAGUGUAUAAAUGAGUCCGAAAAUAAAAAUAUACAGUGUGAUCAACACUAGGGAUGGAUGAUUAGAAUCAUAAAGUAAAAAACUGUUUUUUACAUGUAACAGACAAUUUUUUUACACAAAAUUAUUUUUGUUAGUACAAAAUCCCUAGUUUUAUACAAGGUAUAUUAAGAUCGCUGUCAUUUUAUAUGUAAAUUUAUAUUGGAAAUUUCAGAAACUGUUACUUCAAAGCCUACCGGAUGCCAUUUUUUUUUCGAUCAUACGGUAUAAUUGAUUUAUGUUUACAUUCUAUUGUUAAUAUAUUUUUUAUUUUGUGCAGGAAUCUACAUCCCAUAUGAUCGAAAAA